rnacentral:rRNA from 1 species
UACGGGGGGGGCAAGCGUUGUUCGGAAUUACUGGGCGUAAAGGGCUCGUAGGCGGCCAACUAAGUCGGACGUGAAAUCCCUCAGCUUAACUGGGGAACUGCGUCCGAUACUGGAUGGCUUGGAUUCGGGAGAGGGAUGCGGAAUUCCAGGUGUAGCGGUGAAAUGCGUAGAUAUCUGGAGGAACACCGGUGGCGAAGGCGGCAGCCUGGACCGAUAUUGACGCUGAGGAGCGAAAGCCAGGGGAGCAAACGGG